GACGAACGCUGUCGGCGUGCUUAACACAUGCAAGUCGAACGGAAAGGCCCUGCUUUUGUGGGGUGCUCGAGUGGCGAACGGGUGAGUAACACGUGAGUAACCUGCCCUUGACUUUGGGAUAACUUCAGGAAACUGGGGCUAAUACCGGAUAGGAGCUCCUGCUGCAUGGUGGGGGUUGGAAAGUUUCGGCGGUUGGGGAUGGACUCGCGGCUUAUCAGCUUGUUGGUGGGGUAGUGGCUUACCAAGGCUUUGACGGGUAGCCGGCCUGAGAGGGUGACCGGCCACAUUGGGACUGAGAUACGGCCCAGACUCCUACGGGAGGCAGCAGUGGGGAAUAUUGCACAAUGGGCGGAAGCCUGAUGCAGCAACGCCGCGUGCGGGAUGACGGCCUUCGGGUUGUAAACCGCUUUCGCCUGUGACGAAGCGUGAGUGACGGUAAUGGGUAAAGAAGCACCGGCUAACUACGUACCAGCAGCCGCGGUGAUACGUAGGGUGCGAGCGUUGUCCGGAUUUAUUGGGCGUAAAGGGCUCGUAGGUGGUUGAUCGCGUCGGAAGUGUAAUCUUGGGGCUUAACCCUGAGCGUGCUUUCGAUACGGGUUGACUUGAGGAAGGUAGGGGAGAAUGGAAUUCCUGGUGGAGCGGUGGAAUGCGCAGAUAUCAGGAGGAACACCAGUGGCGAAGGCGGUUCUCUGGGCCUUUCCUGACGCUGAGGAGCGAAAGCGUGGGGAGCGAACAGGCUUAGAUACCCUGGUAGUCCACGCUGUAAACGGUGGGUACUAGGUGUGGGGUCCAUUCCACGGGUUCCGUGCCGUAGCUAACGCUUUAAGUACCCCGCCUGGGGAGUACGGCCGCAAGGCUAAAACUCAAAGGAAUUGACGGGGCCCCGCACAAGCGGCGGAGCAUGCGGAUUAAUUCGAUGCAACGCGUAGAACCUUACCUGGGUUUGACAUGGAUCGGGAGUGCUCAGAGAUGGGUGUGCCUCUUUUGGGGUCGGUUCACAGGUGGUGCAUGGCUGUCGUCAGCUCGUGUCGUGAGAUGUUGGGUUAAGUCCCGCAACGAGCGCAACCCUUGUUCACUGUUGCCAGCACGUUAUGGUGGGGACUCAGUGGAGACCGCCGGGGCCAACUCGGAGGAAGGUGGGGAUGACGUCAAGUCAUCAUGCCCCUUAUGUCCAGGGCUUCACGCAUGCUACAAUGGCUGGUACAGAGAGUGGCGAGCCUGUGAGGGUGAGCGAAUCUCGGAAAGCCGGUCUCAGUUCGGAUUGGGGUCUGCAACUCGACCUCAUGAAGUCGGAGUCGCUAGUAAUCGCAGAUCAGCAACGCUGCGGUGAAUACGUUCCCGGG
rnacentral:rRNA from 1 species